CGGUCUGUCAGAGGAUCACAGUUUCAGAAGCUCAAAAAGCGGCCUUUGUUAGAAUGCUUAGCCAGAGAUCGAKGGGGAAGACAACAAGCAUCCGAGGAUAUGAUCAAGAGGCGCAGCUCAACAGCAACGCAAGCGCUGCAUAAUAUUUCAAAAAAAGCGGUGAAGAGAAGAUUGCGUUGUCCAUAUGUGUUUCCUCAGUUGUUUUCACUAACUUUGUACAUAGAGCUGACCCUGGUGUAUGGGUUGUAUAUUGCAAACUUGCAAUGCUCCAUGUUUCA
rnacentral:lncRNA from 1 species